rnacentral:rRNA from 1 species
AUGCUGCACCCUUGUAGAACUUCUACAGAAACCGUGAUCACAAUCUGCCAAACAACGAUGGAAAGAUCUCUGAUUUCAGUUCCUGGAAAGCAUCCAGAUCAGCAAGAAACCGAAGUAGAUCACAACGAUGAAAGGCCUGAAACAAGAUGUGGUUGUGAUGCCCGUAUGAAGAUCAGCCUUAGAAAUGGAUUUUAUUAUGUGUAUGCAUUCAAGGCGUCACAUAACCACACUCUUGCUCAUGGAAUCAUGGACCGAUACUUGAGAUCCCAGAGAAAAGUCAUAGAAGCACAGAUAGCAAAUGCAGAGGUCGCAAAGUCAGUUGGCAUUUCAAGUAAAGCAACAAUCGGUUUGAUGGCCAAAGAAGCAGGUGGAAGUGAAAACCUUGGCUUUAGACCUCAAGAUAUGAAAAAUUGUUUGCACUCAAAGAGAACAAUAAAGCGCAGGUAG